AUUGAACGCUGGCGGCAGGCCUAACACAUGCAAGUCGAACGAGUGGCGGACGGGUGAGUAAUGUCUGGGAAACUGCCUGAUGGAGGGGGAUAACUACUGGAAACGGUAGCUAAUACCGCAUACCAUCAGAUGUGCCCAGAUGGGAUUAGCUAGUAGGUGGGGUAACGGCUCACCUAGGCGACGAUCCCUAGCUGGUCUGAGAGGAUGACAAGCAACACUGGAACUGAGACAGGGUCCAGCGUCCUACGGGAGGCAGCAGUGGGGAAUAUUGCACAAUGGGGGCAGGCCUGAUGCAGCCAUGCCGCGUGUAUGAAGAAGGCCUUCGGGUUGUAAAGUACUUUCAGCGGGGAGGCGUUACCCGCAGAAGAAGCACCGGCUAACUCCGUGCCAGCCGCCGCGGUAAUUC
rnacentral:rRNA from 1 species